UACGUAGGCAGCAAGCGUUGUUCGGAAUUACUGGGCGUAAAGGGCUCGUAGGUGGCCAACUAAGUCAGACGUGAAAUCCCUCGGCUUAACCGGGGAACUGCGUCUGAUACUGGAUGGCUUGAGUUUGGGAGAGGGAUGCGGAAUUCCAGGUGUAGCGGUGAAAUGCGUAGAUAUCUGGAGGAACACCGGUGGCGAAGGCGGCAUCCUGGACCAACACUGGCACUGAGGAGCGAAAGCCAGGGGAGCAAACGGG
rnacentral:rRNA from 1 species